CCCCCUUCAAGUUGGCGAGGGAAGAAUGAACCCCCAACUUGCUCAGAAGCUCACGAUAAGAAGACCCAGAAAGAGGUUAGUAAAGAUGUCCGCUAACUGAGAACGAGUGGGAAGAAAAAAAAGAGAGAAAUGAGGCCAGAUUGAAACUGCUGACGGACGAAAUGGCAAACAAGUUCGAUGUGUUUCGUUCGCUCGUGAAAUAUAGGGUUUUUUGCAAUGUAAAUCGCAGCUUGGCUAUCAGAAUGAAGAGGAAUAGGCAAAGUGGAAGGUACAAAGAGAUAUGUAAGGAGGUAAGACAACCAGGUUAAAUUUGCAACUACACGGCGCAUAAAUCUGUACUCUGCCUUUGCAAUAGACAAAGAAACUGAAGGUUGUUUAUUGGAUUUCCAAAAAAUGGGACAACCACCCAAACUGAUAAAGAAACCACUGACGGAGUGACGGAAUUAGGACAAGUUAAUUCCCCUAAUCGGAGUCACAAAAAGUAAGAAAUCAAAAGAAGGGGAAGAGGUCACGAAAAGUCCAAGACCAGGGUCAUUGAGAAGAUAGCGAAGGCAAUGCAUGGCAGCAUCCAUAUGGGGAGAACGACAAUCUUUCAUAAAUUGGGAAAGGUAUUGAACAACAAAGGAAAGAUUCGACCUAGUGUGAGUCAAGAAAUUGAGCUUACAAAGAAGCUGACGGUAAAAAGAAGGAUUAGAAAGAUGAGGGCUAACCCCGGCAAACAACUUAUGAUUUGGAGCCAAAGGUGAAUUUACCGGAGAAAGGUCCAGACAAGAAAAUUCAGUGAGCAACUCAAGGGAAAACUUGUGUUGGCUAAUGACCAAACCAGUGGGCUCCCGCAAAAUCUCCAUACCCAGAAAAAAAGAUAAGUGCCCCAAAUCUUUGAUUUCAAAUUCAACAUCUAGAAACUGUUUCAAUUUGUUCAAUUCUUGCUCAUUAUUGCCAGUGAAAAGGAUAUCAUCAACGUACACUGCCAUCAAAUUUAAGUUUCACCUUGUAAAGCCAUUUACAGAGCUAAGCCUUUCUCCUAGGCAGUAGAGAUACUACUUCCCAAGUCUCAUUGGCCAAUAAAGCAUCUAGUUCCUUAGCCAUGGCUUCUUGCCAGGCAAGAUGGGUAACAACCUGAGAAAAUGAGCUAGGUUCCUGAAUAUAGGAGAUAGAAUUAACAAGUUGUCGAUUGGAAGAAGAAAGGACAGAAGGAAGAACAUUAGGAGAUAUAUAUAUAUGAAAGAAAAUGUGGAGUAGAGACAUUUGUAAGAUGUACAACACCACAGGUAAAAUCAGGUAAAAUCUGAAAGGUAGGAAGGUGUCUUAUGUUCUCUUAAGGGCCUGCGCAAAGGGGUUUCAGAAGGAAUAGGAGAAGGUGAAUGAUGAAUAGGUGAAAGAGGAGAAAGGAUAGUGGUUGAGAAAGGUGAAGGUGCAGAACCAAAAGAUGAUGGGGUAGAGGAUGACCUGGAUAUAGGAAGAGGAGAGGAAGAAUUAGAAGGAAGGAGAGGAGAAGAGGAAGACCUAAAAGAUGAAUCAACAACAUGUGGAGAACUAGAAGUAGGGGCAGAAGUAGGAGAUGAGGAAGGUAUAGAGAGAGGAUAGGAAGAAAAAGGUACAGUAGGGGAAUCAGAAAAUAGUAGAGGAGAAAUAGAAGGCAGAAUAGAGAAGGGAAAUAUAGAUUCGUGGAAAACAACAUUCCUAUAAAUAAAGAUAUGGUUAGUUUGCAACUUCAAUAACUUGUAACAUUUCUUGCCAUAGGGGUAACCAAGAAAAAUACAAGCAGUAGCCCAAGAAUCAAGUUUUCCUAUGUGAUAGGACAGAGUAGAUGCAAACAUAGGCAACCAAAACAUUUAAGAAAAUUAUAAUUAGGAGAUUUUCCAAAAAGAAUCUCAUAUGGUGUUUUGCAAGAAGCAAUUUAGUAGGAUAUCUGUUGAUAAGGAAAGUGGUUGUCAAGAGACACUCACCCCUAGUAUAUAGUAGGAACUUUAGAUUAAAAUAGCAAAGUCUACAAGUUUCAAGCAAGUGUUUGUGUUUCCUUUCAACAAUACUAUUUUGUUGAGGGGUGGUCACACAACUAGUUUGGUAAAGAUUACAUUUGGAUUGAAAAUAGAUGGUAGCAUCAGAACCACUCCCCAACUCUAAGGUAUUAUCAUAUCUAAUGACUUUAAUUUUGGUGACAAAUUACCUUACUACCAUAGCAAUAAAAGAUUUGAGAACACUAAAAGCAUUUCCUUUGGUGCUUAAAAGAUAGGUCCAAGUACCCCUACUAAAAUUAUCAACUAUAGUAAGGAAGUACUUAAAACCAUCAUAGGUUUAUAAGAAGGCAUUCAUUCCAGUAUAUCAGUUGCUCUUUGAGAUGGUUAAUAAAGUGUUGCUUCCCCACGCUGAGAGAAGAUUUAUUGCAUCUAAAGUUGACAUGUUCCUUAUGGAAGCCUUGGAAAAUCUUACCACCAUCAAUCUGCCUGGCAUAAUGAUUGAGCAUAUGCAGAAGGUGACAAAUCUUAAGGAUGGGAAUCCUGAGUUACUUUAUGGUUUUCUUCUCACAAAGGUCUUUGAGUUCUUCAAAGUACCUCUGGGACAGGCCAAAAUGGGCACUAAAGAGUAAUCCUUUUCAAAAAAUACUUUUGAGAAGUGUGAGUGCAUUGACAAGGUCGGAGGAGUUGGAAGCACUUCCACUAUCUCUCAGCUGAUAAAUGCUCAGAAUAUUGCCACAGAGGAGAUCUGAAAGUUGAAGGCUAGGAACACGAUUCUUGAGAGUCAGCUUAGUCAGUUACAAGAGGCACCUAGUUCUAGUAGUUCUCAUAGUUCAGAGGUUGCACGCCUAAUAAAGGAGAAUGCUGAACUCAAAAAAUAGAUGGAGGACCUGAAAGAAAGACUGCUCAAUGAGCAAAUGUCCGCAAAUGCUCGCAUGGAUCUUGUCCUCUAAACCCUUGCUUCCUCUUCAAAGCCCCCUUCCUCCAGUGUCCCCUAAAGGAUGUCCCCUUAGUGUCAAGUUUUCAGUGUCCAUCUUCUUAGUUGUAAUUAUUUCUGGUAAUUGUUUUUAUUUGUUUUAAAAUUAUGGAUGAUUACAAUGAUUCUGCUCCCGCCUGUAAAAAUCCAAAUUUGGUUAAUGCAAGUGGUUUUCUUUUGUUGUUUAUGCUACAACUCUUUUGUCUCUGUUCUCUAUCAUGUUGUGUGCACACAAAUGGCAUGAGUUAAUCACGCUAGACUUCUUUAUGCUGCUUACUUGUUCUGUGCUUUUUAUAAUGCCAAAAGGAGGAAUAUUAAAUUGAAUAAUAAAGAGCAUAAACGAAUAAUAAUCCGAAGGGGGAGAAAUACAGACUCAGGGGAAACUCACUAAGGUUCAGGUAUAGAUUAAGGGGAAAACUUAAAGUCUUUCAGGUUCGCUAUCUGGUUCUAUGUGGCUCUUUAUGGGAUUUUCAAUUAUGAGUUUGUCUUUAUCAAAAAGGAAAAAAUUGAUAGGUUACAAGUACCUUGGUCAUAAGUACUUUAUUUUAUGUUUUGAUUAUCUAACAAACUUACUAUCCAGUACCAGAUAAGGAACAUGUUACACAUUUACAAGACCUUAAGAUCACAAGGUUCCAGCUUGUGAUACGGAAAAUUUUAAAGUAGAAGGAACAACUGAGGGAAUAGGUCCCUACCAGUUCCCGGAGAGAUUGUACGAAGCCAACUCUCCAGUUGGAAAGUUGCUGCUUGCACACGCUACAGUACAGGAACAGUGUAUCAAUCAACUUUCUGAGGAAGACUUUUUACCUACCUUACUUACAUCAUUGUAUGUGAGGUCACACAUAUAUUAUUAACAUCAAGGGAGGUAAAACACAUUCACUUGAACACUUAGAGUUUUUACUUAAGCUCUCUCACAUGAUCAUCCAGGAAGUAAUUCUCAAGUGCAUCAAGAACAAAGAACAAAACAACUACGGACCAAUUCCCACAUUAAGUUAUUGUAUGUCCUUAGUUGAGCUAUAACUUUGUAAUAGUUCUUCAAGUGUAAUUCCUACCUAGCUUGUUUAGAAGCAUUCUGUAGGAAACCCUUUGUAAACCUUAAACCCGUGUGUUUGAGUCUUGGAUAGAGUUAGUCAAGUUAUAAAGUCUUUGUAAUAGAGUUGUUACAAAGUAGCAUGUAAUAUAGUGUUACAAGUUAGUGAGGGAUUAAGAGGUUAAUUCCUAGGUUGCAUGGGUUGUAAUCUAAAAGAUGCUCGGUAGUGAAGUUGAAAUCCUACAAGGAUAGGUCGUGGUUUUUAAUCCCGUUGAGCUGAAAAUUUUCCACGUAAAAUUCCUCUUGUCAUUUAUUUACUGCAGUGUGCGUGACCUGAUUCUCUAUAGAGUUUGGUGGACCCUUAUAUUCUAUCACCAUAGAUUACCACAUGAAAUUUUAGCUAGAUAAUAAAGUGCAAACAGACUGAUAACAAUUAUUUAUAGAUGAUAAGUUUGUCUUAUUUGUGUGCAUGUGAUAAAAUUGGGUGAAAAGUUUGCAUCAGAUAGAGCACAUCUUUCACUCUACCAGGAUCCAGAGACCUCCUCAAGGAAGGGCCCUAUAAGAAAGAAGAAGUAGCAGAGAAGGUAAGCAAGUUGUUAAAUUUUGAACAUAAUUUCUGAACUGAUAAUAGGUUGAAUUUGAAACUAAGAACUAAAAGGACUUUGUUUAGAGUUAAUUUAGGAUGAAUACAAGAUUAACCUGCAUGAGUGACUUUAAUCCUAAAAGAGUUAGGUAGAUUUACAAAAACAGGCUGUUGUAAGGGCUUAAUGUUGAAUAAAAUGGACUCAUCAAAUAUGAUAUGUUCUGAAGCCCCAGAGUCAAGUAUCCAAAAAUGAUAGAUAGAGUUUUUAGGAAUAGUUAAGAUAGUAAAGGAAGUAAUACCAGCAUAGUUAACUAUCACAUUUGUUUCAGAACUAGAUGUGCCUUGUUGUCCAAUUUUAACCUGGUGUAGUAUCUCCAUCAACUCGGAAAUUUUCUCCUGAUUCAAUUCAAUACUAACAUCAGUGCUUGGAGACUGAGUAGUUCUGCUUGAGUAUUUAUUGUAUUACUACGUAGGGCUGUGCAUUUGGAUCGGAUAUCCGAAAUCCGAUCCGAUCCACUCUAUUUCGGAUUUUCGGAUUUCAAAUUUCGGAUUUUCGGAUUGGAUACGGAUUGUGUUUUAUGAAAUUUCGGAUUUUCGGAUUGGAUUCGGAUUGGUAUGAUUUUAAUCCGAUCCGAUCCGAUAUCCGAAAUUAUAUGUACCUAUAUAAAUACACACUAAAAUUUUAGGGUUAUGCUUAUUCAUUUUUCACACACCCCCUCACUCACUUAGAUUUUUCUGCCUCUCUUGCACCUCUCUUCUCUUCAGUGAAGACUAAAAGAGUCUCAAUGACUCAAACUUCCGAUUUUACUUUGAUUUUAUGUCUCUUUCUUCCGCCUCUCUUCUCUUCUCUUUUGUCUUUUAUGUCUAUUUCAUGUUCUAUUCUUCAACUUUUGAUUUUAUUUUGAUUUUUUUGUUUGUUUUGGUAGAUGGAAGAUGAGAUAGAGACACCGAAUGAACUUUAAAUUGUUGAAAUUUUUUGUGACAAUCCGAUCCGACAAUCCGAAAAAUUAUCCGAUCCAAAGUUUAAAAUCCGAUCCAAUCCAAUGUUAAUUCAGAUCGGAUUCGGAUUGCCCUUUUCAGAAUCCGAAAUCCGAAUCCGAAAUAGGCUAAAUCCGAUCCAAUCCGAUCCGUGCACAGCCCUAUUACUACGUGCUGAAUUAUAGAAUAUUGACUGUGUAUUCUGCCUUGGUUUUUGUUCUUAAAACCUCCUUAUUGAAAAUUUGUGGGAUAACCAUGGAGUUUGAAAUAUUUUUCCAUAGUAUGUCCUGGCCUUUUGUAAUACUUGCAACUAGAAUUGUUUCUCUUGUAGCCCUGAUAGGAGUUUGGCUUUGAGGUGUUGUUAGAUGCCCCUUGCUGCAGAUUGAACCUCUGAUUUCCUUGCCCUAGGAUGGAUGAUUGUCUAACAACAGAGAAAGAACUAGACUUUGUAGGUAAAUUCCCCAUAGGUGGUAUACUCAUUUACCUCUCCUCUUGUAGUAACAGAAAGUAUGCUCGAUCAAUGUCUAAUGAGGAAUUCAUCAUUAUUAUGUUACCUCUGAAAGCAGUAUAUGUUCAUUGAGUCCCAUAAAAAAUUGCACUAAUUUUUGUCUGUUCUCAAGUGCACUGUUUUUCUCCACAACUCCACACUUACAAUCAACACAGUUGCAUACUGCCCUAGCAUCGAGUAGAUCAAUUUCAUCCCAUAUAGCUUUCAUGUUAUUAAAAUAUGUCGCGAUAUUGUUUCAUCCUUGUACAGUUUCCAUUAUUUGCUUUUAUAGUUCAAAUAAUUGUGCUAGGUUAGACUGUCCAUAUCUUUUCUCAAGCUAUUUUCACAAAUCAUAUGCAGAUUUGGAGUGAAUUACACUGCAUCUAAUUUCUUUGGUCCCAUCGACGAAACCAAGCUUUCCUCCAUGAUCCAUAUCUAGUGCCGUCAAAAGCAGAAAAUACUAAAGUCAUACAUGUCGAGUCUGAUGCAUGGAGAUAGUAAGGAUGAAGAUGAUCGAUUUUCGCCAUUAGAGGAGGAACAGACGCAGCAGAUUCACUGGAAGCAGAAUCCUCAGUCAAGACCAUAUUCAACCAAAAAAAUCAAAGAACAUUUGAGAUUUCUAGAAGUUUCUGUCGAAGUCGAAAAUGGAUCUGGUGAAAUUGACUUGCUUAUACGAUAUAAAACUUGGGGAAGAAGAAAAUUAGUUUCAUUCUGCUCAAAAUGAGUGUCAUAUUAUAUACACGCAUCAAUUAACCUAACUGACUAUCACGUGUUCACUUAUAUUCCCACAUGUGUAUAAAUAAGUUAUGUUGAGUCUUCACACAAGAAGCUUCUAGAUAUAGAUUCUACGGUUGAGAACAAAACACAUCACUUAAUGAACAAAGGCUUUGAUCAUUC